rnacentral:rRNA from 1 species
AGAUAGUACCAUGUUUGCAUUUGGAUUGAGACAACGUACAAACCUUUAUCCGAUAAACAAUUUCGGAGGGCAAGUCUGGUGCCAGCAGCCGCGGUAAUUCCCAGCUCCAAUAGCGUAUAUUAACGUUGUUGCAGUUAAAAAGCUCGUAGUUGAAAUGAAGGGUGGUUGUGUAAUGAAUACAUUCGUGUAUUUUGUUAUUCUACCACCCUCCUUCUAAAUUCGAUAUAUGAGUAUUAAUUUACUUGUAUAUGGUUUUAGACGUUUACUGUGAGAAAAUUAGAGUGUUCAAAGCAGGCAUUUGCUUGAAUAUAUUAGCAUGGAAUAAUCAUGUAUGAUUUUCAUGAUGUAUUUGAUUGGUUUGGUUCAUGAGAAUAAGAUUAAAAGGGACAGUUGGGGGUAUUCAUAUUCAAUAGUCAGAGGUGAAAUUCUCGGAUUUAUGGAAGAUGAACAAGUGCGAAAGCAUUUACCAAGGAUGUUUUCAUUAAUCAAGAACGAAAGUUAGGGGAUCGAAGAGGAUUAGAUACGUAGUUCUUCUUUAGAGU